UGGGGAAUUUUGGACAAUGGGCGCAAGCCUGAUCCAGCCAUGCCGCGUGUAUGAAGAAGGCCUUCGGGUUGUAAAGUACUUUUGUCAGGGAAGAAAAGCCUGGGGAUAACACCCUCAGGUCAUGACGGUACCUGAAGAAUACGCACCGGCUAACUACGUGCCAGCAGCCGCGGUAAUACGUAGGGUGCGAGCGUUAAUCGGAAUUACUGGGCGGAAAGCGAGCGCAGACGGUUAUUUAAGCAAGAUGUGAAAGCCCCGGGCUCAACCUGGGAACUGCGUUUUGAACGGGGUAACUAGAGUGUGUCAGAGGGGGGUAGAAUUCCACGUGUAGCAGUGAAAUGCGUAGAGAUGUGGAGGAAUACCGAUGGCGAAGGCAGCCCCCUGGGAUAACACUGACGUUCAUGCUCGAAAGCGUGGGUAGCAAACA
rnacentral:rRNA from 1 species